GUAAAAUAUUAGCCUUCCAAGCUUAGGAUGCGGGUUCGAUUCCCGCUGCCC
rnacentral:tRNA from 1 species